rnacentral:rRNA from 1 species
UACGUAGGGGACGAGCGUUGUCCGGAGUUACUGGGGCGUAAAGCGCACGCAGGCGGUCUGCUAAGUUUGGAGUGACAGUUGGUGGCUUAACUGCCAAAGUGCUUCGAAAACUGACAGACUUGAGGGCUUCAGAGGACGACGGAAUCCGGGUGGAGUGGAUGAAUGCGUAGAGAUCCGGAGGAACACCAAAGGCGAAGGCAGUGUCCUGGGGAG